CUUGAUGGAGCCGAGCCACAGCGGUCGCCCGUCGGCCCGCUCCUGGCCGUAGGUGGCGAGCAGCGCCUGCGCCUC
rnacentral:antisense_RNA from 1 species